AUUGAACGCUGGCGGCAGGCCUAACACAUGCAAGUCGAGCGGAUGAAGGGAGCUUGCUCCUGGAUUCAGCGGCGGACGGGUGAGUAAUGCCUAGGAAUCUGCCUGGUAGUGGGGGGUAACGUCCGGAAACGGGCGCUAAUACCGCAUACGUCCUGAGGGAGAAAGUGGGGGAUCUUCGGACCUCACGCUAUCAGAUGAGCCUAGGUCGGAUUGGCUAGUUGGUGGGGUAAAGGCCAACAGAGGGGAGGAUCCGUAACUGGUCAGAGAGGAUGAUCAGUCACGCUGGAACGAGAGCACGAUCAGGACUCCUGCGGGUGGGAGCAGUCGGAGAUAUUGGAGGAUGGGCGAAAGGCUGAACCAGCCAUACCGCGUGUAUGAAGAAGGUCGUCAUAUUGUGAAGCUCAUUAAGUUGGGAGGAAUGUCAGUAACUUAAUACCGGGCUGAUAAGACGAUACCAACAGAAUAAACACCGGCUUACUUCGGG
rnacentral:rRNA from 1 species